rnacentral:rRNA from 1 species
GACGUGAGAGGCAAGCGUUACUCGUCAUUAAUGGGUCUAAAGGGUCCGUAGGCGGUUUAAUAAGUCAGUGGUGAAAUCUGGUCGCUCAACGAUCAAACGGCCAUUGAUACUGUUAGACUUGAAUUAUUGGGAAGUAACUAGAAUAUGUAGUGUAGCGGUGAAAUGCUUAGAUAUUACAUGGAAUACCAAUUGCGAAGGCAGGUUACUACCAAUACAUUGACGCUGAUGGACGAAAGCGUGGGGAGCGAACAGG